rnacentral:tRNA from 1 species
AACUUCGUGGUGUAACGGUAGUACACUCGGCGCGUAUUCGAGAGGUCCAGGUUCGAGUCCCGGCGCGGUCA